rnacentral:rRNA from 1 species
CAGCAGUGGGGAAUCUUGCACAAUGGAGGAAACUCUGAUGCAGCGAUGCCGCGUGAGUGAAGAAGGCCCUUGGGUUGUAAAGCUCUUUCGUCGGGGAAGAAAAUGACUGUACCCGAAUAAGAAGGUCCGGCUAACUUCGUGCCAGCAGCCGCGGUAAUACGAAGGGACCUAGCGUAGUUCGGAAUUACUGGGCUUAAAGAGUUCGUAGGUGGUUGAAAAAGUUAGUGGUGAAAUCCCAGAGCUUAACUCUGGAACUGCCAUUAAAACUUUUCAGCUAGAGUAUGAUAGAGGAAAGCAGAAUUUCUAGUGUAGAGGUGAAAUUCGUAGAUAUUAGAAAGAAUACCAAUUGCGAAGGCAGCUUUCUGGAUCAUUACUGACACUGAGGAACGAAAGCAUGGGUAGCGAAGAGGAUUAGAUACCCUCGUAGUCCAUGCCGUAAACGAUGUGUGUUAGACGUUGGAAAUUUAUUUUCAGUGUCGCAGCGAAAGCGAUAAACACACCGCCUGGGGAGUACGACCGCAAGGUUAAAACUCAAAUGAAUUGACGGGGACCCGCACAAGUAGUGGAGCAUGUGGUUUAAUUCGAAGAUACGCGCAGAACCUUACCAACACUUGACAUGUUCGUCGCGACUCUAAGAGAUUAGAGUUUUCGGUUCGGCCGGACGAAACACAGGUGCUGCAUGGCUGUCGUCAGCUCGUGUCGUGAGAUGUUGGGUUAAGUCCCGCAACGAGCGCAACCCUCACUUUUAGUUGCCAUCAUUAAGUUGGGCACUCUGAAAGAACUGCCAGUGAUAAGCUGGAGGAAGGUGGGGAUGACGUCAAGUCCUCAUGGCCCUUACGUGUUGGGCUACACACGUGCUACAAUGGUAUCUACAACAGGAAGCAAGACUGCGAAGUUAAGCAAAUCCCUAAAAGAUACCUCAGUUCGGAUUGCACUCUGCAACUCGAGUGCAUGAAGCUGGAAUUACUAGUAAUCGUGGAUCAGCGUGCCACGGUGAAUGCGUUCCCGGGUCUUGUACACACCGCCCGUCACACCAUGGGAGUUGGUUCUACCUUAAGGCAAGGUUUUAAACCCUUGACCACGGUAUAGUCAGCGACUGGGGUGAAGUCGUAACAAGGUAGCCGUAGGGGAACCUGCGGCUGGAUUACCUCCUUU